UGUGGUUUUAUUAUGAUUAAUUAAGAUGAGGGUUUUCUUUGCUGUGGAAGGCUUUUGUUUUGCAGUGCUGUGGUGGUGGGAGCUCUGUCCGGUUGUUUGUACAUCGCCAUGUGCUUGCUCCAGGGACGUUGUGCACAGUGAAUCCACAAGCAUGCAUGCCUGCUUUCAGCGGGAUCUGAUGCCAAUGAAAACACAUUCUUUGAAGAGAUAGGGCCCAUCCAAAGCACAAACAGUGGAUGAAUUCUACCUCUGCUAAGUUCCCAAAAUGAAGCAAAGGCAACCCAUAUGGAAGCUAAGAUGACACCGUGACAGCUGCAAUCAGCAGAUGCAUGAGAGCUGACAGUCCUUUGAUUUCAAAAAGAGAGGGUUGCUGGCAAGGCGUUUUCCAUAAGGAGUUCCUUCUAAGCUCUGUAAGUCAUUUCACUUCUUAGCUCAAUAGGACCUUGAUUUGAUAACACUCAGGGUAUAUCACAAACGGCACAUCUGCUCUCCCGGAGUCUCCCAGGAUGAGGGGUGUGACUGAGCUGGAAAGGCUGCUUCUUGGGGAUUCCAUUUUUUUCAGGUUUAGUUUAUCUGUGAGCUCAUUCUAUUAAAUUGUCGUUAACCAUUCCACAUCUUAUGGGUCAUAUAACCUUACCAAGGCUAUGUGGUCUGCGUGACAAAAUUGUUCUGUUUUGCCCUGAAGAUUUCCCUCUUUGCUGUGUUUCGUUGCGCGUGUAACACUGAAAGGGUGAACGGGCGCUACACCAAACCCAAGCAAACCACAGAUCUCAAAGAUUGUUUCUGACCGAGUAAAAUUGAGCAAACAGAUUUUUCUACACCAGUUCAGCCAUCCUCAGUUUUUCCUGUGACCUCAGUCACAGUCAAGCACUUACUGGGUGACGUGUUACGGUAAGACUGUCAGAAUAAAAGCCGGUUAAGAAAUCUACUCCUCAAAGGAGAGCAAUAUGCUCCCACUUGUGAUUUAGUCUCGCAGUGAAGAGGUUGUCAAGCGGGUUGCAAUCCUGGGGGUUGAUUCUGGGGGGAGCCUGCCUAGUGCCCAGCGCCAUUGACAGACAUCAGCUAAAGCUGCCUAAAACGAUGUCAGCUGGAGUGGCCAGGGGAAUCCUCUCCUGUAAGGUAGCCACAAGAGUUAAAGCGCUUCCAGAAGUGAAUCCAUUAGAUGCUGAUAGUGAUUAGUGGAAGGUACCACGAUGACUAAAAGUACUUCAAGUGUAAUUCAGUCUGAAACCCCUUUUAGCUGAAAAGUGUUAGAUACAUCACGGCUGAGCUGCAGGUAUCUGUUUGGUGGAUGUGGCAGCUAAUCUGGGCACUGAAUCUCACAGCUGUAUGCGAGCAAAUGCUACUGAAAAAACUCUUCUUCCUUCCCAUUGAAAAUAUUCUUGGAUAUUUAUUGUUGCAGUAAAGGGAAAUUUAGGAUUAGAUUUCUAAAUUAGUUGGAUUCACGUUAUUUUGGUGCCCAAGGGUUUGUUGUUUUUUUUUUUUUUUAAUUAUUUGGAUCUUAUGUUUCAAGUUUCAUCCAAAAGUUAAGUCAUGGCGUAAGCUACAGGAAAAUCAGUGUGUCACUUACUACACGAUAAGGGGUUAAUUUGACUGCACAAAGACUUGAGCUUAUGGCUUGAGUGAUUUCAAAAAUCUUCCUUAUACCAUUAGCUAUCUGUUGAAUUAGAGUAGUAGGGUUUUAGGAAUGCUUGUCACUAUUUUUGUGUGUCUGUAAUGAAAAGCAACAGCCAUAGUAUCUUCACCACUCCAUGGAAACUAGCUUAGUUUUGCAGUAUUAGACAGCUGGGAAAGGAAGAUUCUCUCCUGUAAAACAAGGUGGUAAAUGAAACGCUAUUGCUAUUAAAAGUAAUAAAUUUUAAAAGGUUGGACAAAUUUUUAAACUGAUCAUGCAGUUGAUUUGAUGAUUAGUUUCUGCAAAACUUACGUGGCAAAUCAAAAAAAUCCUGUUGGUUUUCAUGCAUUCCAAAUAAAGUUCAGACACAUUGUUUGCAAGUCUCUUCACACGAUCUGGCCAUUAGAGUGCCAACUUCCUCACAGGUUGCUAAAUGCACUUAUUUAUAGACACUACUGAUAUUUUUCAGUGGUUAUUCUUCUUUGCAACUAAUGUAGUGACUGCAAUUCCUGCAUAUUGUUCAGGCAUUUUUCCUCAAAGAGGUUGAAUAAAACGACACAAAUCCUGCUGGGCAGCUGAUACCAUCAAAAUGUCAGCCCUUAAGAAAUGUCCCAUGGUUUCAGCAAACCAUGUUUGUCAAGCAAAGUGAUUAGAGUCAGAUUUUGGAAGUUCUGCUCAUAUCACUCAGUUGAUCUGCAUCUACCCUAACGCACUGCAAGGGUGUGCCUGAAAUUAAAUUAAGGCCAUCUACUCAGUCUUUCCCAAACUAUUCACGUAAUAGUAAUCUACUUCUGGAGCCAGGUUCAUAGCUUCUUGACAGAAGUGCUUGUUAUCCCUAAAUGUGAUGAUGAUAAUAAUAACUGUAUGACUAGAAAAAUACAGAGAAAAAUAAUACUUAGUAUCAGAUGGGACUCACAUAGGUUGCAAACAGUAAACAAAAGGGGAAAUUACAACCCAGUAAUUACACAUUCACAGACAAUGAUGCUUGCACCAUAUGUAAACAAGUCCAUUUUCACACACGGAACGUAUAUACGAUUGCAAAGAAAGGGUUUAUUUGAUAAAACUGUUCAGAAUGAUUGGGUUUGUAAAAGUAUCUGUAUCAUUCAAAUUAUCAUCCAAAUUUAUAAUCAGGUGACUGAGUAGGCUGGAAAGAGUCUUGAAGGAAGUAGUAGUGGACACUCCACUACUCAAUGGGUAUUAUUCAGGACGUGUUUCUGCAUGUUUCCUUUUCCACUUGAUUUUUCUACAUAUAGCUAUUUUAAUUUCACUAUUUUUUCUUCUUUAAUUUUGAACUAUAUUUUUAUUUGCAUAUCUUAAUUUGUAGAUGUGCAAAAAGGGCACCCAUCCCAGAAGUGAACAAUUUUACAACAUGGAUCUGUAACAGACAAACAUUUUGAUGCUUGCCCUCGAACAAUCCACAUUUCUGUGCAAGAAUAAAUUUUAAAGCCUGUGUCAGUUUUGGAUCCACAGUUGUGCCCAUAGACCAUGUAACUGUAUAUACAGAAAGCCAAUCGGAUGUACAAUGUGUGCUGUUAUCCAUCCAGUAACCGCAGUUGAAGUAAAAUUGGAAUUUCUCUUUGUAUGCCUGGCAGCUGGGGACAACAGAGCCCAUUGCUUUUAUAGAAUUUGCUAUGUGUGAUGAAGUAAUAAUCACUAAAUGCUUAAUAAGUAACACUGCUAUAUAAAAUACAUGCUGAAUUAAUAUUUUAUAUUGUAUAACUUGCUGUAAUACGCAUUCACUUUUAAUCCAAAGCUUCCUAAAAAUGUAUUAGAAACCAGGGCCUUUGUGUUAGUCACUGGGACAGAAUUUCUCACUGGGGUGACCUGCUCCUGAGGUAGCACGCACGCACGCACUCAGGCCAGCUUUACACCAGGCUGAGGUGAAGGUAUGGUGGUCCAGGAGGCACCACACAAGCCACAGAAAACUUCAAGAUACCAGAGUAACGCAGCAAAGGCCCUUUCUUCCCACCACCACCCCAGCUCUGAGAGCUGCGCUCCAGUGCAAAUGCGCCUCUGUAAUCCCCCUCCCCAUAAACACUUCUAUUUAUAGUGCUUAAAAUGUUGUAAUGGCCUCAUCCAUCAUCCUGAAAGAUGAGACUUGCUGGCUGUCACAGCUCAAACCUCCUGCCCCUUUAUUGACAAAUACGGCUGAAAAUCAGAAAAAUCCGCCUGCAGCCCAUGCGACAGGCAGCAGCUCCCCUGGCGCUGGGCAGGGAGGACGCGGCCGGCACCGCUUGGGCCCUGCGGCACGAACCAUCCCUGCGUAACUGCCAUUUACUGCCCAUUUAUUUGUUUCCCUCUGUGCCUCUCUUUCACUAACUAGUUUUUUUGCCUUUUUCAGAACCAAAAAACCACAAGUUAUUUGGGAAAGCCUUUAAAAUACCUCCGUGAGUUGGAGUUUCAAAAGAUUUUUAGAAUGACAAACUCAGAAAACUCCCAAAGGUUUCCACAUCUUUUUAUUAUGACCCUCUGCCACGGUAUCCCAGUUCCAUGUUUCAAGAGCCAAAAAGCAAGUAUCACUCAGGUAUCGUGGUAUUUUCUCCACGUAAGUUGCCCUCUGAACACUGUUACAUUAUUUUGCUGACUUGUUCCACGAGCAAGAUGGUGCAAAUGUGGCGGCCUGGGCAGUUGAGGGGGGACAAGGUUCACCUCAGCCCCUGGGCGCCAAAGGGUGUUAUAAACAGGCAGCGUUUCAGGUAGGAUUUUAUUUUUAGAUAUUAGCCAUGACACUGCUGCAGGGAACGACCAUCAAUGGACACCGGCUUGGGGUGCCCCCGAGCAGCCUGGCCCCGCCGCCAGCCCUGCGCCCAGGCGGACGACCUGCCCUCCACAAAGAUGGCCGCUCGAGGCGGGAACCGUUCUCCUCAGUCCAAGAUGGCUGCCCCGCCGAGCAUUCCGUCUUGACCUUUUGCCCAUACUUAGGAUGGCUGCCGAGCUGCAGGCGAUAUUCCAAAACCAAAAGUGGCCGCCCCGGACAGGGUGUUCCCUGCCCCUA